GAUGAAGAACGUAGCGAAAUGCGAUACUUGGUGUGAAUUGCAGAAUCCCGUGAACCAUCGAGUCUUUGAACGCAAGUUGCGCCCGAAGCCACUAGGCCGAGGGCACGCCUGCCUGGGCGUCACACGCCGUUGCCCCCCCAUCUACUCCUUCGGGAUUGCGGGGGGGCGGAUGAUGGCCUCCUGUGCGCCUAGCCGCGCGGUUGGCAUAAAUACCAAGUCCUCGGCGACGCACGCCACGACAAUCGGUGGUUGCGAAACCUCGGUUGCCCGUCGUGUGCGUUCGUCGCGCAUCGAGGGCUCGAAAAAAUGCUCGGCUCCGGCUGGGCUUUCAACGCGACCCCAGGUCAGGCGGGGUUACCCGAUGAAUUUAAGCAUAUCAAUAAGCGGAGGA
rnacentral:misc_RNA from 1 species